UGCGGAAGUGGCGGAACUGGCAGACGCGCUGGACUCAGGAUCCAGUGGGUUCAUAGCCCUUGGGGGUUCAAAUCCCCCCUUCCGCACCAA
rnacentral:tRNA from 1 species